rnacentral:miRNA from 1 species
GCUGACACAUCCCGGCCAAUCUCCAGCAGACCCUCCCUCCCAGACCCUCCUACUUCCUGGACAGCAUCCAUGUUGAAGGCAGCUUCAACAUGGAUGCUGUCCAGGAAGUAGGAGGGGCUGGGAGGGAGGGUCUGCUGGAGAUUGGCCGGGAUGUGUCAG